AAAUUGGGGUAUUAAUAAACCUUAAGUGUUUUGAAGUGAGUGGCAUGUAUAGAGACUUAGUACUUUAUGAUAUGUGUUUCAUGAUUUGGCCAAUUGAGUUGGCUUAUAAUGAUUCAUUUGUAUAGAGCCGUGAGAUAUGACUCAUAUUUGAUCAUUGGGUUAUAAACCUAAUUGAUUUUGCAUGACUGAUCUAAUGUCUUGAUGAUGUGCAUGUUGUGAUGUCUUGGUGUCAAUGAAUGUAUGAUAUGGUAUGCAUAUUUGAUGGAUGAAAUUUG
rnacentral:lncRNA from 1 species